UACAGAGGGUGCGAGCGUUGUCCGGAAUCACUGGGCGUAAUGCGCGCGCAGGCGGUCAUCUACGUCUGGGGUGAAAGCCCGGAGCUCAACUCCGGGAUUGCCUUGGAUACGGGAUGACUUGAGGAUCGGAGAGGCAAGGGGAAUUCCACGUGUAGCGGUGAAAUGCGUAGAGAUGUGGAGGAACACCUGUGGCGAAGGCGCCUUGCUGGCCGAUUUCUGACGCUGAGGAGCGAAAGCGUGGGGAGCGAACAGG
rnacentral:rRNA from 1 species